rnacentral:rRNA from 43 species
CUAAAACGACUCUCGGCAACGGAUAUCUCGGCUCUCGCAUCGAUGAAGAACGUAGCGAAAUGCGAUACUUGGUGUGAAUUGCAGAAUCCCGUGAACCAUCGAGUCUUUGAACGCAAGUUGCGCCCCAAGCCUUCUGGCCGAGGGCACGUCUGCCUGGGUGUCACA